AGCGAAAUAGUGUAAAGGUAAGCACGUCAGUUUCAUGGCCUGGCAGAUGGGGUUCGAUUCCUUGAUUCGCUA
rnacentral:tRNA from 1 species